rnacentral:rRNA from 1 species
CACGUAGGCACCAAGCGUUGUCCGGAUUUAUUGGGCGUAAAGAGCUCGUAGGCGGUUCGGUAAGUCGGAUGUGAAAACUUUGGGCUCAACCCAAAGCGUGCACUCGAUACUGCUGCGACUAGAGUUCGGUAGGGGAGUGGGGAAUUCCUAGUGUAGCGGUGAAAUGCGCAGAUAUUAGGAGGAACACCGGUGGCGAAGGCGCCACUCUGGGCCGAAACUGACGCUGAGGAGCGAAAGCGUGGGUAGCAAACAGG